UCCCUGGUGGCUCAGAUGGUAAAGCAUCUGUCUACAAUGCAGGAGACCUGGGUUAGAUCCCUGGGUUGGGAG
rnacentral:tRNA from 1 species